CACAUAAUUUCGAAUGACUGGAUUGUAAUUUUCCCAUUCGUUCGAAAUUGUGACCA
rnacentral:pre_miRNA from 1 species